UCAGUUUUAACACAUGAGAUAUGAGACAUUUGUGUGUUGUUCCUUUGGCAACAUACAGGCGAAUCUACAAGAAAGGUGAUAUUGUGGACAUCAAGGGAAUGGGCACUGUU